ACUAUACCUAGCCCACCUCCCUCCUCAUUACUACUAUUAACAAGCUAAUUAAAUAAAACAUUCACCACGCGUUUAAAGUAUAGGAGAUAGAAAUUUAACCACCAAUGGCGCUAUAGAGAAAGUACCGUAAGGGAAAGAUGAAAGAAUCAAUAAAAGUAAAAAAAAGCAAAGCUUACCCCUUGUACCUUUUGCAUAAUGACUUAACUAGCAAUAAUUUAGCAAAGAGACCUUAAGUUAAAAUACCCGAAACCAGACGAGCUACUUACAAGCAGUGACUAGGACAAACUCAUCUAUGUGGCAAAAUAGUGAGAAGACUUAUAAGUAGCGGUGAAAAGCCUAACGAGCCUGGUGAUAGCUGGUUGUCCAAAAAAGGAAUUUCAGUUCAACAUUAAACAAUGCUAAGGACCUUAUCAAGUUUCAACGUAUGUUUAACUGUUAGUCUAAAAAGGUACAGCUUUUUAGAAACGGAUACAACCUUUACUAGAGAGUAAUAUAAAACUUAAACCAUAGUUGGCUUAAAAGCAGCCACCAAUUAAGAAAGCGUUCAAGCUCAACAACAAAAAUAAGUUUUAAUCCCAAUAAUAAAUAAAGCAACUCCUAGCCCGACUAUUGGACCAAUCUAUUUGAUUAUAGAAGCAAUACUGUUAAUAUGAGUAACAAGAAAAUUUUUCUCCUCGCACAAGCUUACAUCAGUAACUGAUAUUAUACUGAUAAUUAACAGUUAAUAAAUACAACCCAACACUAAAUUAUUUAUUAAACACACUGUUAACCCAACACAGGCGUGCACUAAGGAAAGAUUAAAAAAAGUAAAAGGAACUCGGCAAACACAAACCCCGCCUGUUUACCAAAAACAUCACCUCUAGCAUAGCCAGUAUUAGAGGCACUGCCUGCCCAGUGACUUAAUCGUUAAACGGCCGCGGUAUCUUGACCGUGCAAAGGUAGCAUAAUCACUUGUUCUCUAAAUAAGGACUUGUAUGAAUGGCCACACGAGGGUUUUACUGUCUCUUACUUUUAAUCAGUGAAAUUGACCUCCCCGUGAAGAGGCGGGGAUAAUAAAAUAAGACGAGAAGACCCUAUGGAGCUUUAAUUAAUCAACUCAAAAAUCAGAAAACAAUACCACUAAGGGAUAACAAAAUUUAUAUGAGUUGACAAUUUCGGUUGGGGUGACCUCGGAGCACAAAAAACCCUCCGAGUGAUUAAAACCUAGGCCUACUAGCCAAAGUGUAAUAUCACUUAUUGAUCCAAAUUUUUGAUCAACGGAACAAGUUACCCUAGGGAUAACAGCGCAAUCCUAUUCUAGAGUCCAUAUCGACAAUAGGGUUUACGACCUCGAUGUUGGAUCAGGACAUCCUAAUGGUGCAGCAGCUAUUAAGGGUUCGUUUGUUCAACGAUUAAAGUCCUACGUGAUCUGAGUUCAGACCGGAGUAAUCCAGGUCGGUUUCUAUCUAUUACGCAUUUCUCCCAGUACGAAAGGACAAGAGAAAUAAGGCCAACUUCAAAAAAGCGCCUUUAAAUAAUUAGUGAAUCAAUCUUAACCUAAUAAAUUAGCGCAAAUAUAUUAUGCCCAAAAUCAGGGCUUU
rnacentral:rRNA from 1 species